GACGAACGCUGGCGGCGUGCUUAACACAUGCAAGUCGAACGAAGUGGCGAACGGGUGAGUAACGCGUAAUCAACCUGCCCUUCAGAGGGGGACAACAGUUGGAAACGACUGCUAAUACCGCAUACGGAAGGAGGGGAUUGCGUCGGCUUGGCUGGUUGGAGGGGUAACGGCCCACCAAGGCGAUGAUCAGUAGCCGGGCUGAGAGGAGGGACGGCCACAUUGGGACUGAGACACGGCCCAGACUCCUACGGGAGGCAGCAGUGGGGAAACUUCCGCAAUGGACGAAAGUCUGACGGAGCAACGCCGCGUGAGUGAUGACGGCCUUCGGGUUGGAAAGCUCUGUUAAUCGGGACGCGGUACCGGAAUAGAAAGCCACGGCUAACUACGUGCCAGCAGCCGCGGUAAUAC
rnacentral:rRNA from 1 species